AGUGGGAUAGCUGGGUCAAAUGGUAGUUCCAUUCUAAGUUUUCUAAGGAAUCUCCAUAUUGUUUUCCAGAGUAGUUACACCAAUUUGCAGUCCUUCCAGCUAU
rnacentral:pre_miRNA from 1 species